rnacentral:rRNA from 1 species
AUUGAACGCUGGCGGCAUGCUUUACACAUGCAAGUCGAACGGUAACAGGCCUUCGGGUGCUGACGAGUGGCGAACGGGUGAGUAAUGCAUCGGAACGUACCCAGAGGUGGGGGAUAACGCAGCGAAAGCUGUGCUAAUACCGCAUGUGAUCUGAGGAUGAAAGCGGGGGACCGAGCAGCAAUGUUUGGCCUCGCGCCUUUGGAGCGGCCGAUGUCGGAUUAGCUAGUUGGUGGGGUAAAGGCCUACCAAGGCGACGAUCCGUAGCUGGUCUGAGAGGACGACCAGCCACACUGGGACUGAGACACGGCCCAGACUCCUACGGGAGGCAGGAGUGGGGAAUUUUGGACAAUGGGCGCAAGCCUGAUCCAGCAAUGCCGCGUGCGGGAAGAAGGCCUUCGGGUUGAAAACCGCUUUUGGCAGGAACGAAACGGUGUCCGCUAAUACCGGGCGCUAAUGACGGUACCUGCAGAAUAAGCACCGGCUAACUACGUG